UAACUGUGUAGACAUGAGGGCGGUAUUGAUCUUCUCAUCUAACUCUCAGUAAGACAGCUAACAUUGUGUGCCCUGAAAUAUUAUAGACAUGUCUUACAAAAAUACAUUUAAAAGAGUAUUGGUUGUUUAAAUACAUUUUCUGUCCGAACUCUUUACAUGCUAACACCUGAACAUGAAAAUAACAAUAAAAACCUGACACUCCUGUUCCAAACCCUUGAAAUCAGUUCUCCAAAAACAUAAGCACAUUUUCUGAUUUUCACUCAGAUGGCAAUUCUAAAUCACACUUUUCUCCCCAGUCCACUACGCAAAAUUCACCACAUUUGGCACAAUCUUCAUCACUAAAGUCUGUUGUGUUCAUGUGGACGGCAUUGUCCUUCAAAAUGCUCAGGCGAAACGAUCAAUUGGCCACACUGAUGACUCACAGGUGCAAACACUAGUUACUAAAUUGGUCAAUUAAAAAUCAGAGCAUGGGCAGUAAGGUGAGCUUUCCUGUCUUUGAAGAUGAAUGCAUGGCAACUAUGCAGAGAUAUAUGGAAGGGGAUGUUUUCAUGGUGAGAGGAGGAAGAGGAUGGUCAAAAAAGUGAGGAAGAGGGAGUUGCAUCUGGGAUGAGGUUUGUUUCGUUCAUGACUGCAGUUCGUUAAAUCAUCUCGCAGUGCAGCAGAUAUCAUUUUAUAUUUUCAGAUUCAAAAUACAAUAUAUGAAUGUCUUUUCAAAAACAAAACACAUUCCACAAAUAUUAAUAGUAAAAGCAAAAGAGUAAAAGCAACAUUUUCUAACUGCACAAGAUUCUUACACUGACACUUUUUGGUGUGUUUGCGUCUCCGUCUCUUCACCAGAGAUCCCAGCUGUCCCCCCAUCACACUGCGUCCUGGGGGGCAGGGCGGAGGGAGGCCUAUUCAAUGGACCUCUUACUUUUGUGUCUCCCAAACACACAGACCCCCUCCCCUGCAAAAUGCUGCACCCACGGCAGGCCCGGAUGCAAAAGAAAGCAAGACAUGCUCUUCUGAAUGUAGAAGGAAACUAAAAUGGGGACAAAAGAGUGAAAAGUGAAACACACCAACAAAAAGCCCAUGCUCUUUUCCACAUGCCAUUAUUCUUAGUAAAAAUAACUUGAGCAGGUCACCCCAUUCAUAAUCAAUCCCAGGAAGAUCCCAAGAAGUAUUUAUAUGCUUCAUGUACUGAAAUUAAUUUCCAAUUACUGUCUUUAGGUCAAGAUGAAGGAUGUGAGGCUUGACCUUAACCACAAUUACAUUUAAAGAUCCUGUCCUGAAACUGAGCCAAGAUGUCCAGGGAUCGAACCAAGAUGGAUGGGGGGGGGGGGCUCGAGGAGCAAUACUGGUUGUUCUCAGUGUGGUAAUCAAACUAAUCUCUGUCUUCUUCUCUUAUUUGUUUUCUAUCUUCCACACGCAUGCACAAAUGGAGUAUCUCUCUUUCUUAUCAAGAUUAAUAAAACGUUUUGUUCUCCUGUG